AGCGCAUCUAUUAGAUUAAAACCAAUCGGGCUUCGGCCCGUCAAUUGGUGACUCUGAAUAGCUGAAGCUGAUCGCAUGGUCUCGUACCGGCGACGUAUCUAUCAAGUGUCUGCCUUAUCAACUUUCGAUGGUAGUUUAUGUGCCUACCAUGGUUGUAACGGGUAACGGAGAAUAAGGGUUCGACUCCGGAGAGGGAGCCUGAGAAACGGCUACCACAUCCAAGGAAGGCAGCAGGCGCGCAAAUUACCCACUCUCGGAAUGAGGAGGUAGUGACGAAAAAUAACGAGACCGUUCUCUUUGAGGCCGGUUAUCGGAAUGGGUACAAUUUAAACCCGUUAACGAGGAUCUAUGAGAGGGCAAGUCUGGUGCCAGCAGCCGCGGUAAUUCCAGCUCUCAAAGUGUAUAUCGUUAUUGCUGCGGUUAAAAAGCUCGUAGUUGGAUCUGCGUCUCAGGACCUGGUCCGUCCAUUGGACGAGAACUGGGCUCCUAGGCUCCAUUAGCCAGUUUUCUCUACGUUACCUUGAUUGGUUGCGUAGGGUGGCGGGCAAGUUUACCUUGAAAAAAUUAGAGUGCUCAAUGCGGGCUAAUGCCUGAAUAUUUGUGCAUGGAAUAAUGAAAUAGGAUCUCGGUUCUAUUUUGUUGGUUUUCUGAUCUGAGAUAAUGGUUAAGAGGGACGGACGGGGGCAUUCGUAUCGCUGCGUGAGAGGUGAAAUUCUUGGACCGUAGCGAGACGCCCGACUGCGAAAGCAUUUGCCAAGAAUGUCUUCAUUAAUCAAGAACGAAAGUC
rnacentral:rRNA from 1 species